rnacentral:rRNA from 1 species
AGUGAACGCUGGCGGUAGGCCUAACACAUGCAAGUCGAACGGCAGCACAGUAAGAGCUUGCUCUUACGGGUGGCGAGUGGCGGACGGGUGAGGAAUACAUCGGAAUCUACUUUUUCGUGGGAGAUAACGUAGGGAAACUUACGCUAAUACCGCAUACGACCUACGGGUGAAAGCAGGGGAUCUUCGGACCUUGCGCGAUUGAAUGAGCCGAUGUCGGAUUAGCUAGUUGGCGGGGUAAAGGCCCACCAAGGCGACGAUCCGUAGCUGGUCUGAGAGGAUGAUCAGCCACACUGGAACUGAGACACGGUCCAGACUCCUACGGGAGGCAGAAGUGGGGAAUAUUGGACAAUGGGCGCAAGCCUGAUCCAGCCAUACCGCGUGGGUGAAGAAGGCCUUCGGGUUGUAAAGCCCUUUUGUUGGGAAAGAAAAGCAGCAGGUUAAUACCCCGCUGUUCUGACGGUACCCAAAGAAUAAGCACCGGCUAACUUCGU